rnacentral:lncRNA from 1 species
GAGGGCCCUUUAAUAAAUUUAAGGGAUUUAUGCAUGAAAAUCCCCUUCAGUUUAGGUUGAUGGUGAAAUUGUAACUCAUAGGAACAACAGGGUGUUCAUCAAAGAUUGUGUUUAUGGCCUCAUGAUUGCAUCCAUCAAUGAAGGUGUUUGCCAUAAACUUAACAGAGCAAAAAACAGCUUGCAAGGGCAUAUCAGAAUCCACAUAUCAUUUUUGUGAGAUUGUGUUUGAGUUUCUUUUUCUCCUAUGCAUGUUGCAGUGUUCCAGUUAGUAGCAUCAUAUCAAUAGUAAUAUAGUUAUAUCCUUCAGUAGUCCGUAUUAUCCUGCAUUCUAAAUUGGCAGUGCUUUUGCUUUCUUAUUUAUCUCCAACAAUUAUGGCCAAUGACCAUCAUUUUUUUUUGAAACAUUAUUUUAACAUUUUGCUGUUGUGCAGGUAUUAUCUUUCACUUGCCUAUGUUGCUUCUUUGUUUCCGGGCAUGUGGUUUGCUAAGGCAGUCCAAUCUUUCCCUUUACUCUGUUCGACCACAAUUCUUCGAUCUACCAAUGCUGUUUUUGCCAUUAUUUGUAGCAUUCUUGUUUAUGACUUGCUUAUCCUCUUGAGACCUACUAUGAGCGAAAGGAAGGCAACGUUAUAUGCAAUUGUGUUAACACUCUAUCCAGUUCACUGGUUCUUCACAUUUCUGUACUAUACAGAUGUUGCUUCACUAACUGCAGUUCUUGCAAUGUACAUGGCCAGUUUGAAGGAGGAGUAUUGGAUCAGUGCAAUGGUACGCAUUUCAUCUGACAUUCUCAUGGAUUUCGUAAAAAUAUUACUUUUUAUUUUUGCCAGGACUGGUAUCUUGCCAGUGUACUGUAUCAGCUGUGUAGAGUAUAUUAAUAUCAAUGCUUUGCAUGCUUUGUAUACGAACCUGUUCACCGUUUGGCUAUAUAAAUUUUGUCAAAAAAUCAAUAAGCAGUUGGCAUUUCCACUAAAUGAUCAGGAACUGACAUCCUUAAGCUAUGUGAUUCAAAAAAUAGUAGUAGAUUUUGAACUUCUCACAAAUACCAGCAACUGUAGAAGAAUUUCAUACAUGUUUAGGCUGGACAGUUGAUGUAAUUUGAAUUGGAAAAGUCAUACCAAAGGGAGAAAGAGAGGGAAUUUCCAUAUCCAGAUCCAAGAAAGGAACACAGAUUUCAUGUGACAAAUUAGAACUCUGAUUGUUUUCAUAUUCCUGUUAUCUGAUGAUUGCAAAAUUGUAUGAAGAGAAGGAAGAGAGAUAUCAAUAACUUUGCUAUGAAAAUCUCAAAUAUACAUAAUUAAAUCUCAUGUUAUCUUUGGAGCUCCAUGGCACCUUAAAGAUUCUUUGGCCUCUCCAAAUUCUAAUCCUUGUGAGUAAGACCUCCUUGAUCCAGUUUAUAACCACCCUUGGAUUCCCCUAAUAAUACAAUCUUAGGCAUAUUUAUUUUUCACAACAACUUCUCUAACCAAAUAAUCACUCUAUGAAUAUUGAGGUUACAUUCAAUGUGAUUGUGCCAAGUGAAAAUAUUUUUCAUGUAAUGUCUUUUAUGCCUACCAUGAUCAGGUGAAAAGGGAGAUAACCCCUUUGCUUCGCUCACUUUAUCUCUGGAAUCUACACAUAGCCACUAUGAUGCAUCUUUAAUUAGUGAAGACAGGAAGCUGGUGGCUGAAUCCAUCCAAUUUUGCUGCCCUGUUGCCAUACCAGCGGAUAAUUAAUCUUACAGCAUUCACUUAUUUGAGAUCACUUUCUUACCAGUAAUUGCAUUAGCAAAUAAAAGUUCAAACCCCAAAGAUGGCCAGAUUAAAUAGUUCAAUGUUCAAACCUUCAUAUAAUUGCUCCAUAUAUUAUCUUUUGCACCUUGUGUCUCAUGCACGUGGUUGAUCUCACUUCUUUAUCUCACUUUGAUCUAUUAAUAGGGCCCUGCCAAUUAUCUGUAGCAUUCUUACUUCUUUUUUCGGUCAGACACUUAAUUCCUGCUGUUAUCAAAAGAAGGGCACCUAUAUGCAGUUUUAUUAGCAGAGAUACUUGUUAAAGUUUUUCCAGCUUUGACUUGUUGACCCUGGAUUUCUAUGUCCAUCCUAAUGUGCCACCUCCACCAAUUUCUAAACUACCAAAGGAAAACCCUAAAUGCUAUGACUUUGAUACAAGGCAACUACGAUGAAUGCAUAUAAGGUGAGCAUCUGCCUCUGUGAAGUUUUUGCAUGUUCAAUUUGAAACAUAUUCUUGCACAAGUUAUUUCUAUGGUCUGUGUAUCUUCUUGUUAUAUGAAAUAUAGCAAAACUGGAAAAGGGUUUUCUAAGUGCUUUUGUUCUACAAACAGUCGUCUUACAUACAUCCUCUUUUUGUGCAGCUUGGGGCAUUUGCCAUACUUAUUCGGCAAACAAAUGCAGUGUGGAUGGUUUUUGUUGCUGCUAAUGGUGCUAUCACAUAUGCCGAGAACUUAUAUGAAAAGGUUUUUGUUCCAAGGAACCCUAAGGGAAUAGUGUUUGAGGGCAAUAAUUUGCUAUUAGACAGAAAAGACAUUCCAACAGAUCAAGGAUUGAGGAAGCGAAAGAUGAGUAGCUCCGUUAAUACCACUGACCUAUCUAAAUUCGAGACUAGUGGACAUUCCUUGUGCCAUGCUCCAGGUUUUAUAUCAAUCUUCGAGAACUUAUGUUUGAUCUAUACAUUUGGGUGUAGUUUGUCUUGCAUGAACAGUUAUAGAUCAUUCUUUCUAACUUCAGGCAAAAGGAUAUGAUAGUUCAUAGCAUCCCAUGCCAUUUUAUGAGUUAAAGUGCCGAAUUUUUCAAUAUUAAGCAGUCUCAAUCUUAUUAGAACAUCAGCAUCCUUUUGCAACAGAAAUGCCCAUCUGAACUUGUUAUUUUAGAUGAUGGAAAAGAAUAUUAGAAUAUUUAUUUCUUUUCAUUCUUGCACUUCUGUUUGUUUAGUUGCAAAAUUUUGUUUAACACUAUAUAACGAGAGAAAGUAGAUUACAGCAUAUAUAUUUCUUUCCAUCCAGUACCUUGUCUAGCAAUAUUUUUUAUCAUUUUGUUGGCAUCACUUAGUAAAUGAGUUGGGGAUGCUACCACCUACAAAAAAGUUUCCCACAUGUAGAGGUGCAUCUGUAAGGAGCCUUUCCAUUGUUAGACCAAUGAAUAAAAUUAUUAAAAUUCUUCAAUUUCCUCAGUUUCAUCGGAGCAUGUAUGUUAUCAUCAAACUCUUCAAUCGAGCAAUGUAUGAAGUUAAUAUCGCUGUGACAUUAUGGUCCUCAUUUCUGUGCGAAUAUAACUAUUUAAGAUUGGCCUUGAUUUCCUAUUCAGCUGCCUCAAAUUUGAGUUUGAGUUGCUGUAUCUGUUGUCAUAUCUGAUUUGGGAAUUAUGUGUGAUGAACAAGGAAACAUGAAAAAAAAUUUCCCUUGUAAUUUUCUUUGUGAUUGUACCCAAGACAUGAUUUUUUCCUCAAACUUAUUUUUUCCUUAUAUGUGCUAUUUAUUAUUUUCCAUGAUAUUUUUCAUCUCAUCAUUAAAAUUGUACAAUAUUACCCUUCAAAAGGGACCUGUAUAGAUUACAUGAUAAUUCCCAGGCAAGCCUUCUGAUUAUAAGUAAAGGAGCUUUCCUAUUGGGCUGUAUCAAUUGAUAACAGUCUUUUUCAGUUUAUUCAGUCCCCUGUGUUUUAACACUCCUUGUUUUAGAUCUUUAAUAGGUGGUGCAUUACAGCACACACGACAGCUGUUUGUAUUGUUUGUAUUGUUAGUGUUGCUAUAAGGUUAGUGCUGAAGUUUAUUUGUUAUUUUGAAAAAAAAAACUGUUAAGACCUUCACCUGUCACCUUUAAUCCUUCACCAGCUUUCUUAUUGAAUCUAAUCAAAACCCUCCACUUACUACUGGGCAUAGUCUUUUUUACGUUAACUCUUUAGCCAGAUAAAAAGUAUAUCCAAUUUAUUCAUGCAACUCAUAAAAGUGUAAUUAUAAUCUUUGUUUGAUAUUAUGAUCUUGCUAAUUGAAGGGUUUUUAUCAGCUAAUAGACAUGUGGCAGGUUUUAUUGACGAAAUCCUGGAUACCACUUUAAAGUUAUGGUGUUCGAAGUGGAAAGUCUUGAUUUCUUUUGCACCAUUUAUCAUGGUAGCAUUGGCUUUUUUAGCUUUUGUCAUCUGGAAUGGGAGUAUAGUUCUUGGUACCACAUCUUAUCUCUCUUUACUUGUGAAUUGAUGAGCUUAUCCAUUUUGAAAUCUGAAAGCAGUGUAUAAUGGUUUAAAGAACUAAAAAUGUACCUCUCAUAAUACCGCAGGUGCAAAAGAAGCUCAUGUAGUUUCUCCCCACCUUGCCCAGUUGAUGUAUUUUGGUCUGGUUUCUGCAGCUGCCUUUGCUCCCUUGUACUUUAAUUUAGGCCAAGCUGCAGCUCUGUACCAUUCAUUUAGGAGGAAUAAAGUUCUUGGUUCUUUACUCAUAUUGGUGGCUCUUACUGUAGGCUUUACUUCAAUACACUUUUUCAGGUGAGACCGAUUAAAGCAUCUUGAAGAAAUGGAACUUGCUGUGUGUUAUAAUAGUGGCUACAUCCAGUUUUUGAUCGCUGAGAUUAUUUAAGUUGCUUCUCUUGAACAAACUGUUAGAAACCAAUGGAAUCGAUUCAUUCUUGAAAUCCAUGACAUGAACUUUUUUUUCUAGCCGCGGCGAGGAUUCACUAUUAUAUAUUGAAAAAGACUGAAGUCUUAAGUAGUACAGGAAUUUGCACAAAUAAUAAAGAAGAGGAACAAGAGCACCAAUAAUACUAUUUAUACAAAAAUUAGUUUUAUGAUCAUAUAUUAGUGUUGAUGCUGAUCACAUCACGCACAUGAUGACUCCUGGCCCCUGAAAAAUGUGCAAACGCUCCUUGAUGAUCUGAGUCAAACAUAUAGCUCUCAUGUAAAAGCAUGAGCCCAUGAGAUCUCGUGCUAUCUUUGAUUCUUAUUAUCUCCUUACCAAAUCUGGUAUUUCCAGUGGUAAGACAUAGCCAUGAGCCAAACUUAUAAAUCUCUUGUUAUACGUUUUUCUUCAGGGUAAUCCAAUUUGUUUGUGGUUGUCUUUAACAUUUCAAUUUGUCAAUGCAGCAUAGCCCAUCCGUAUCUGCUGGCAGACAACCGGCACUACACCUUCUAUAUUUGGCGAAAAGUGAUCCAAGUUCACUGGAUGAUGAAAUACCUUUUAGUCCCACUUUAUGUAUAUUCAUGGUUUUCCAUCAUCAGCAUACUAGGUCUGCAGCGAAGCUUAUUCACUGAACUCAUUUCUGUGUUCCAAACUUUCGACUGAGACGCGUCUUUUGUUCACUUUACAGGGAAAGCUCAGAAUAGGAUUUGGGUGUUCUCUUUCUUCAUAUCUUGCGCACUGGUUCUCAUACCUGCACCACUUAUUGAGUUCAGAUAUUAUACUAUACCGUUCUACUUCUUGAUUCUUCAUUCUCAGGUUACUGAUUAUGUCCAGUGGCUGACUGUUGGUACUCUAUAUGUGGCUGUAAAUAUCUUCACAAUGACUGUGUUUCUGUUCCGUCCUUUCCAUUGGGAUCACGAGCCUGGAAUUCAGAGGUUUAUAUGGUAGUCUAGUGGCAGAUCUGAAGAGAUCCACUAGUUUGUACAAUCACACUCAGAAUAGUACCGGCUAACCUGCAUGUCUGCUUAUCAUGAUUCCCAAGCAAAAUUUGCCUGAUCUUCCAAGAACGUGGUAGAUCAUAAAUUCCAAAUCACAGUUUCCAGCAGCUAGAUUCUCACAACUUUUCAUCAUGAUGGAUCAUGGGAGGAUAUCUUGUAAAUCAGGUUUUGCAUCUUUCCUUUUCCAAGUAAUGCUUAUCAACUAACAUCCUGAGUUAAAAAUUAAAAUAUUUAUUACUUAUUCCUGUUAUAAAAUAGAAUUGUGUCAUUAAUCUUCUUAUUGGCUCUUUUAUCUUCCAGUUAACACUUAUUUUUGCUUUAAAUUUUCCAGUUGUUUGUUUGUUAAAUGGAUAUUUGAAAACAAGUUUGUCCAAUCUUGGCAAGUGUUGAUAAAUUUUCUUCCUCAAAUGAUUUGUUGAUGAAUUUGCUUCCUCAAAUUAUAGGCAUUCACUGCAAAUUGUUGUUUAUCAGCAGAAAAAGGCUGAAGACUUAUAGAACUGAAUUUUGUUCUUCGAGAACUAUGAACAAAAAAUGCUUGGAUCAGACAAGGACUAUUAAGGAACUUAACCAACAUUCAGGGCAAGCACGACGGUCUUACUGUUCACAUGACUGUUGUUGUCAAAUACGCUAUUUUCGUUUAUUUCUUGAGAUGCGGAGCUCAAAAGUAAAUCUUAGACUCAUAGACGUCCGAUUUUCAAUGUUGCAAUCACUAUGUGUGUAGUUGUCUACUUAUUAAAGACAUCUGUACACAAAGUCCCCGCUUCAAAUCUCGAUUGCUGCUUCAUGAUCUUUAUCAUAGAUGAAGUAGAAAAUUAAGAUAGUUUGUAGUGAAGAUCUCUCCAACUUUUUAUAAAGCCUUCUCAACAUGUAGUUGUACUUAAACCAAAUAUGUCCAACCAAAAUCAAAUAUGUGAUAAUUUUUGCAGCUUGGAUGAUGAUGGCCUUGUAUUGUUCACAAUUUGAAGAAUAGCUCUCUUAAAAAUCAAAGGCUAUGUUCAGUUCAGGAAUAUGACAAAGGGAAGUAGCGAAAAUUGUGCCCAUGAAAUCAAUGAGUUAUACCAAUUUUUGUUUGAUUAGCACUUUUGAAUAGCAAAGAUAUUUCUUUGGAGCAACCUUUGAAUGAUAAAAAGGUAAGAAGUAUACAUAAGAAGUACCAUUAUGCCAAAGAAUACAUCAAAACCCUUCUUGGAAUAGAUAUUUCUAUCAUAAGCAAGUUUGAUUGGCAUAAUUGCUCAAUUGUUAUGCCUCUUUCCUGAUUGUUGUUUGACUAGGAUUUAUUUCAAGUCAUGACUGUUGAACCAAACACAACCUAAUUAUAUUUAAAAAUUUACUUGAAACGCAUAGAUAAACAAGGGAUUGAUGGGGAAUAGAUGGGAUACAUCAACCGCAUGAUAUGCAGUUGUGUACCCACUCCGAUAUACACCAAUGUUGUCACCGAUGCGUGCAGCUACAUGAGUGACGCCUGCAUGCCAGAGUUACGCCGGCGGAUGCAUGGAUUAGCAUCCGAGAGAAAGAGAGAGAGAGAGCGAGCGAGCGCUUCCCUGCGUUCCCAUACCAGAAGGCACGUCGCUGGGUUUCGCAAACGAGGUGUUUCGCGACACUGGCACCGAUGUUGGAGUCCUUGGAUGGUAGACUAGAUCAUUUGUCGGUUCCCCUUGCCUUUGCACACCACCACCAAUCUCCUCCUCCUUGUCGCCGUCGUCGUUCAGCACCUUGCACUUCUCCCUAAGGAUGAUGGCUUCUUCUCCGACGCCGCCUUCCCCUGGCGCCGCCCCCUCUUGCUCUUUAUUUUCUGUGGGAACCUCGUGCCGAGGCUGAUUGAAAGCUUUCACCACCGACGGAAGGAUAGGAGCAUGUGCUGCUGCUGCGGCCUCAGGCAUCCCUUUCUAUCUUCGUCGUCUCUCCCUCUUCCUUCUUCCUCCUCGUCGGGAGGUUGUAAAUGUUCAGAGACUUCGACAGUCGCUGCUUCUGCUGCUGCAGCAGUUGCAUCAUUGGAAGGCGGUGAUUGGGGUUUUGAUGGAGACUAGGACGAUGCACGCUCACGAUGGCAAGAAACGCAGAGGAAGGUGAUAAUGGUGAUGGAGGCAAUAAGCCACGCAACCACGACGGAGAGAGGACGAGCACCGGAUGGAAGAAAGGGUUGCUGGCUUCAGGAGAACAAGGUUAGGUAAUCUUUCUUCCCACCGGAUGGAACUCGCCUUCUUUUUGAAAAAAAUUUAAAAAUUGUCGCUUGUUUGUUUUGUUUCUCCCCUUUUUAUUUCUUUUCUUCAUUCGGAAUUGGUGAGUGGAAGGUGAGAAGGGAAUCCAGUCCAGGAGACAAGAUUCUGUCCGUCUCUUCUGUUUUCUUAGAUUCAACAAGGAGGCUUCGCUUUUUUCUGAUUUGAGGACGAGUUCGUUAUAUAUCCUAGCGGGGUGACACAUGCUAAUUAAGGUGAUACAUACCAAGAAUUGCCAAAGUCAUACUUAACGCAAUUCCUUAGCAAGCUAUACAAAAGUUUCAAGGCAAGCAAAAGGUAAGUUACUAGACAUUGGAUAACAUGCUAAAGGUGAACUCUUCGCUCAAAGAAACAAAAAAAAAAAAAGAAAAGCAAACAGAAAAAUGAGUCACCAUGGGAUUGUCAAAAAUACUCCACUAUUAUUUGGAGCAAAGUGGCACGCUUGUUAAGCCUUUUUCUUGUUUCUUUGGCAGCAGCAACUCUUAUAGGCCUUUCUAGUUUUUGUUAGCAACAUCUGUUAUUAAGCUUCAAAUAGAACGAGGUUUUACAGAGAUCGUGUUUACAGAUAUGCAAUGUCCGUGAGAAUGUAUUGACUUGAGACAUAAAUGAAAAAUGAUGUCUUUCAGAAAGUCAUACUGAUAUAUUCCUCUCGCACAUUGUUGAAGGGUAUCCAGGUUUCUUGGAGCAAAACCAGGCCCUAUUUUCGGCAGCCAUAUUAGUUGGCAUACUCCUAUAAUCUAAAUUAAUAAAGCCUGUAAAUUAAUAAAUAUACCUGAGAUAACUGCGCUUUCUGCAUGUUCAACACAGAUGAUCUUCAGAGCUGGAUUUUUCAUCUUGAAAUAUAUGCCCACUUUGUCUGUUGUGUCUUUCCACAUUUCAGGCCCCAGAGCGAGCAAAAACCAAUUCCGAUGAGCAUAAGGAGAAACAGCAGAUUCAAGACUAAGCUAAUAGAAAGGUUAUAGCUUAACCAAAGUAGAACAGUAUAAAAAGUCAGACAGAUAAAGAAGGCCUGACAUAGGAAAUAGGUGAGAAUGUGAACAUCUUAUAAAACUAAUCUUUAUCUCAUUCUACAAAUUGUAGUAUCAUUAAACCACUAACCUAAUUUUCACAGGUGAAUACAUUUGAGUACUGUAAAAUUAAGUAGAAAGGACCAACUUUUCAAUUUUCAUGGCAGGGAAGUGGGUUUGACUACAGUUGCUACCAGGUACGUAUGAACCGUCAUAUAUUUCACAUUGUUCAUGACAUAAUUCUGGAAUACUAUGCAAACAAAUAGGUUAAGAUUGCGAGACAAGAUAGCCUUCUAAGUUACCAUAAUCAUAAUGAAGAAGCUUUCACAUGGUAUUUGGAGUUGGCCUUUCGCACUCCAUCUUAAUAUAUUCAAGAUACUCCAGUUAGUGACAGUUACAUAACAUAAGUAUCUAUAUUAAGUAGAGCCUUAUUAAUCCAGCCAUGAGAUUCCCCAUGCUUAUUUCAUGCAAGGGGGGAAAAAGAAAAUGCAAAUUGCAACAUCUUGUCCGUGACGGACACUCCUAAACAUGGGUUCGAAAUGCCGUCAUCAAAUUUCUACGAGAAGUGCUUCCUAAAUUGGAGUGAGAACUAAAAGAUAUCGCCUAAAGGAUGUAGAACUAGAGGUUGGAUGCCAUGCAACCAAUGUUAGGAAAGCGACAAAAAAACUGGUACCCGAUCAACUUGACAUCAAAUCAGACUACUACGCUACAAAGAAGGUUUGAAGGAAUAAAUGAAAGAACAAAUGAAAGAAACUGAUGAUAAAAGAAGGAAUGCUAUUAGAAAGAGAGAAUUUCUGGGAAUCAAAAAUUGGCGAUAGACAUUGAACUAUUGUUUGUGCAGAAACCUAGACGGUAAUAACUGAAAUGGUGUAAAAAAAUUAUUCCCUAAAAAAUGUACCAGUGCUUGUGAAGUGUGCUUCAGGAUUUGCUGCCUUGUUGAGCUGAUCAAGGACAUAUACAUUUGGAAUGUUCUCCUUUGACUGCUCUACCCUUUGACCAGCCCCUGAAACCCGAAGUUUAGGAUCUGAAAAGCAUUUGUAGCAGCACAAAUAUUGUUUAGAUAAAAUAAGGGAUGAUUCUAGAAGGAAAAAAAGGGCAGUUUAGUAUGCACUCAGAAUUUGCUUACAAAUAAAAUAGCUACUGCAGAAAGCAUGCACCAGCUAAGGCUUUUGUGAUGCUUUUCGCCUAAUACCUAGAUGCAUUAUUAUCUAAGAUAUCAUGAAAGCCCUCAAAAUCACUAUACCAUUUUAGAAAGAGAAAUUGCAUAGCACAGCCAAAAAUUCUCCAUGCAUUACUACAAUGAAGCUCACUUAGAUUUCUAAAGUGGAUUAGAGCAAGUCCAUAUAGAGCUAACAUAGGCACAAAGCUCCAGUAAAAAAAGAUAGAAAGGAGUCAAUGAAGGUGCUCUAGGUGUAUUAUGAAAUGCACAAUAGUGCCAAAGUGUAGAAACAAGAACGUUGUUUGGUCAUGGCACUAACAAGAAGAAUCAUGAGGCGAUUUCCCUUAAUGGCGUGAAACUUCACAUAGAUCGCCACUGAACUGUUUGAAAUGCUGAGGGAGAAAAACACAUGGUUGAUCAAAUUAGAGAUGCAAUUUAGUCAAUUUAUGUCCAUGAGAAGAGAAGGUAACCNNNNNNNNNNNNNNNNNNNNNNNNNNNNNNNNNNNNNNNNNNNNNNNNNNNNAUGAAAUGGAGGUUUGAAAACAUAGUAGUGGAGGCACCAGUAUGGCAAAAUUGUGGCAUAUGCAACAAGGUACUAAAGCUGCAUUUUGGUGCAAGGCCAAACUCAAUCAAUCUAAAAGUUAAUCAUAGUAUUUCUAGAGAAUUUGUAAGUUGAGAUUUAUUUAGUCCAUGUUCAAAUUUACAAAAAGGCAAGAUGUGAGCCCAACCAACUAAUUCACGAUUGCUGGCUUGAGUUUUUUUAAUCUUCAAUAAAUCUCAAAGUCUAGUGAGCAAUUUGGAAUAUAAUAUUAGGCAAAACAUGCACCAAGAAAUUGUUUUAUAUUUGAAAAUAUUGAAAAGCACAACUAUCUUACCUCUCAACAAGUAUACAAGCAAGAUUUUGCCACAUUUCAUAAAAACCCAAAUUUAGGGAUAACUGUCAUAGGCAAACAGAAUUAAUAUCUAAUAUUCUUUUCCAUUUCUGAAAGCAAAAGAUUUUGGGCCUAAGCUUUAUCUCAUGUAUAAAAUUCUCAGAAGACAGUGAAUUAUGAGCUUAUGACUAAAAAUGAUUUCUGAUAUACUUUUUAAAAGUAUUAGUAUUUUAUAUUUUCCAAUAUCUUCUUUUACAUUUACCAGUAUUUUCUUUAUCUUAAAAAAUAUUGACCAGACCCAAAGAUUUUCAGAAACAUCCAAAGAUUUUCCUCCACUAUUUCUCCACUAUUUCUCAAAAGAAGGGGGAAAAAAAACAGAGAGAUUUUCACUAUACUGAAAUUCAUUAUUGGCAAGAAACUAGUAAGAUCUUGUCUUUUGGAGAUGCAGCUUUCUUGGAUAACCAAUUUCAUGCUUCCCUCCAAAAUACAGAGACCCAAAUAUUUGAAUCCCCAAACACCUCAGAAAUAAUUUAAUAUCCAGACUAAGCCAAAUGCCUGCAAAUGGGACGCGGAAGUCCUUGGGGGGAAAUAUCAUGAAAGGACUGUAGAUUUCUAAGAACGACAUGAGAAAUGCCUUCAAUGGAAAGAAUAUCAAACUUCUUGACCAGCUUUAAACAUUUAAUCACAAUCAAUUCGAUAUGCUGUCUACCUGUUCUUGAUUCAAUGAACCCUUGAUCUGAUAGCAUUUAUCAAACCUACAACCCAAAAAGAAACACAUCAAUUCUACCACAAUAAUGAACAAAAAACAUCAUAACAAGAAAAACCAAUUGAGAACACACGAACAACUUCUCUCAUCAUGUUCUUUUGUUUUCAACCCAAAUUCAAAUGAAGAAAACCUCUGAACAAGUAGAUNNNNNNNNNNNNNNNNNNNNNNNNNNNNNNNNNNNNNNNNNNNNNNNNNNNNNNNNNNUUAAACUGCUUCACCAGUCUUAGGCUUUGUCUGCAUAACAGAACCCUCCAGUUUUUAACUUCUCAAUCAGUUUAACACAAAAAAAAAUAAAAUCAAUAGGACAAGAAACAAGAACUCACAUCAAUAAACAACCCUCGAAAUACACUGAUCAAACCUGGAAAACAUCAAGAAACAGUAGACCAAGAAAGGAUAAAAAAGCACUCGCAUCAAGAAACAGCAUACACGGCUAAAUCUAUCACGAGCUUAGAGUUGGACCAAAUUGAAGCUUAAAAGAAGCCGAGCAAAGCAAGAAAGAGGGAUACCUCUGUAAUGCCGGAGGCUAUCUUCUCCCUCCCGUCGUCUUGCUCUUGCGGCGAGGAAGAAAUUAUCAGCGAAGGAAAACCUCUCCUCGCCCCUUCCAUUCCCUCGCUGCUACUGUUGAAAAGAAAGGGAAUUUGUUUUUAUUAUUUUUUUUAGGGCUACUCCUACUGUGCUUAUAUUUACAGAUGGAGGUCGUCCGAAUUCCGAACGUUGAGAAACUUGGGCAGCACGUCACCGUUCUCAGUGCCGGUUAUAAGCGAGACGCCGGGUGGCGCGUCCGCCCAUUUGAAGUGGUUGUAUCCUUCGUGCCCAUCCACCGUUGGAUCAUCCACUGGUCGCUUUGAGAGCUGUGCAUGCGGAUGACGGAGUUCGGAGAGCUUUGAGAGCUGUGCAGUGGGUGAUCCAGCGGCGGAUGGACGCAAAGAAACAUGAAUCCUUUUUUCGCGCGAAGGACACAACCGCGAUCCCCGUUUUUAAGGGCGAGAGCACAGAACGAAUGCACAAAUCUGCCUCCAAGCAAGCAUGCACGCAUCGCGUCCGCACUGGGAUUAACUGAUUAAGACAAAUUAGGGUCACCAUGAAUAGUGCUUUUUUUUUUUGGGGGGGGGGGGGGCGGUGCCCGGCGCACCUCUCAAGCCACCAGCCUACAUAGCACUAACGUGGCGAGGAACGCAUCUAUUCUGUUAAUAUUAUUAUUUUUUGAUGUCAUUUUUUAUUAAUUAAAAUGUUGUGAUAUGAGAUGUAAAGCCUUGAAUAGAUCAGCAACAUCAGUAAAGCACAAAGUCAUGGCUGUUAGACCAGAAGAUCUUUAGAUGAUAUCUAACCAAUAUCAUUGUUUACCUAAUAUAUAUAUAUAUAUAUAUAUUCGAAACAUUAAUGUGAUUCCUGAAUAAAACUACGUACAACAUCUACAUCACGCAAAACGGUAAGUUUAUUUGACAUUAAAUAAGAUAGGAAGAUGAGCAGCUGUGAGAAGGAUAAAAGCGACGUUCGCAUACACUGCAUACACAUGGUGUAGGGGUAGAAUAUAGUGAUCUGAUGCAAGAUCCGCGCAAAAUGCCGGUUUAGAAAGUCAUAUUAAUGCAUUCUUCUCUGACACUGUCAAAGAGUUCUGUGCUCAUGUAUCUUUCGCCACCACUAGGAAACAUUGUUACAAUCAUCUUCCCACUGUUUUCUUCUCUACUCGCAACCUGUAAACACUUCAGUCAGAAGAAUGGUAGGGAGUGGAAAUUGUGAAAACUGGACAACAGAAUCCACAGGAAAUAUAACAACCACCUUUAAGCAAGCCGCUAAAUUGGCUCCAGAAGAUAUGCCAACAAGCAAGCCUUCUUCUCUUGCCAACCUUCUAGCAUAAGUCAUUGCUUCUGCUGUGGAUACAGCAACGGCCUCAUCAAUGUACGCGGUGUCCAAGUUUUCUGGAAUAAAACCUGGACCUAUACCCUGGAUAUUGUGUGAUCCUGGAUUGCCACCUGCACACCACCAUUGGAAUCGAUAGUCAUGGGGCGCCCAUCUUCUGAAUAAACAUGAUAAACCUGUUUCUAUCCCUAUGUUUGGAAAUAUCUGAGAGGACAUUGUUCACCGAGAAAUUUCACAAGAUUUAGCUUAUGCUUAUCAGCAUUCUGCCUCAUGGGCAGGUAGAAUUUGUGUCUUCAUGAAUAAUGAAGAACCAGGGUACGCAAAGAAACAGUUCCAAAUAAAGCGCAUCAGCAAGAUGUGUGAUACAUGAAUAAAAAUGGCAAAUAGAUGUAAGCUCAUUGAAGUGAAACAGGUUUAUGCAAAAUACAAACUCUAUCAUUAAGAAACAUCCAAUUUUUAAGGUCAAGUUGUGAAAACCUCUAGGACUCUGACAAAUGUGAAACCGAAAAUGCAGAAAUAUAGCCUAAUAAGACCCAGCCCUCCUAGUCAUAUGGCAAAUGAAAGAGGCAUAAUGAGCAUGGUAUCUGAUAUGGAGAUAAACAACUACUCAUCAUAUUUGUAUGCUAAUUCCUACAUAAUCAGUUCCCUUGUCACAUCACCACCUGCAAAUGGUACCUGAUCUAUAAGGACCAUUUUUCACCAAGCACAUCAGAAUUCAAAUGUUGGGAACAUCAGAUGCCAAUUGCAAUGGAACAAUUCCUCUAGAAUAGGCUUCGAGGACCCAAAAUGUUAUAUGAAGAAAAUAAGUCUAUCCAACCUAGUGAUUUGGAAAGAACAUCAAGCACAACUGUUCUCAUAGGUUGCACACAAAGCAUUGUAAGCUCGUGGGCACAUCAUAGAUAUCGCAUGAGGGAAUAGUGAUGCUGGUCAUAAGUUCAAGUGUUUGCCCUCUGUUAAAUAAAAUACAACCUUUGUCAUCCAUAUGCUAGGAGCUAAGGCUGAUUAAUACAAAUUAUUCCAGUUUAGCAAAUUUCAUCCACUGCCAGCUGGUUCUCAAAAGUUUCUAAGAAACAAGAACGUCUUAUUGUCUUAUUGCUACAUAGUACAGGGCAUUACUAGUAAGAGACACAUAUCCAAAAUGGGAGCCGGAGUUUUUAAUAUGAUCAUUUAAUCUUUGGUCUGCCAAGCAAUAUAUUUAGAUGUUAUGCAAGUUGCUUAACUAAGAUCCAUUUUCUUGAUAUUCUACGGACUAUGUUGGAGAAGGAAGGGGAAAUUACAAUCAGAGCAGUUAUGCCCACUUUACACAACCAACGGAAAUUGUCAUUUCCAACUAUUCUAGCUACAUUGGGCACAUUCUCAAUUAUCAGCUGCAGAAAAUAUCCUCUCUCUCUCUCUCUGUGUGUGUGUGUGUGUGUGUGUGUGUGUGUGUGCAUGUCAGUGAUAAUAGCUUCUUGUUGAUAAAUAUGAAAGAAGUAAUAAAAUUGUGGAAGGAAAAUUGCAAGAAUUGGAAUUGCCUAAUAGUACCAAUGCAAAUAAGAAACCCUUUUAGAACUAGAGACUAAUAAAUUUUCCGGCCAAACAAAUAAUCUUCCUCUCUAAAGGCUAUUUUGAGGCAGACAUGUCCAUUUGAGGUGUGUAUUACUCAUUUUGAAGCUGACUUCAAGCCCUACAAGUUUUUUACAUGAUUUUAUCAUUUUCUUUUUUUAAGAUUGUUGGGUGGAAUGUGGUGUUUUAAGGGGCUAUCUUAGUUGGUAGCUUGUUUGGCAAGUAUUACCAUUGAUGCUAGGAUUUGUUUUCUCGCCUUUUAGGUAGAGUAAUGUCCAUACCAACCAUUUUGUGGUCAAAUGGAUGCUGUUAAAGCAGUAACACAAACAUGAAUUCCUUAAAAACCCAGAAUUUCAGGUUGCUUUAUUUGUUUGAAAGUGAUGAUAUUACUGGGUAUAACCCCUAUAAGCUAAAACAGAAAAAAUCCUACCUGAGAUAACUGCACUUUCAGCAGGUUCAACACAAAUGAUCUUGACAGACGGUUUUUUUAUCUUGAGAUACUUCCCAACACCAGUUACAGUGCCUCCUGAACCAGAACCACAUACAAAAAUGUCCACUUUGCCUGCUGUGUCCUUCCAUAUUUCCGGACCUGACAAUCAUACAAAUAGAGGCAAUAUAUUUAUGCUAAUAUUGAGGUGAGGCAUAGACAGAAUAUUGUGUAAAGCAAGAUGGGUAAAGGUUCCAAAUAUAGAAAAUGGUGAUAGCAUAAAUAUCCUUUGAUAGACCAUAUUUCUAUUUCUUUCUAGAAAAGUUGGAUCAUUAACUCAUUCAAGCUAAUCUUCACAAGUAGAUACAAUGGAGUAAGCACCAACUUUUCAUUUUCACAGAAUAUGUUUAUAAACCAACAUAUAUAUCACAAUCUUAUGGAACAAAAUUCUAAGCAACCAGGUAAAGUAAACAGAGUGUCACACCACAUUCGGAACAAAGAAGGACCUCUACUGGUACUUGUAGUUGGCUUUCUGAAUCCUGUCUUAUUAUAUUUGAGGUAGGGAUGCAAAUUGGCCAGCCUGCAGGCUAACUUUUACACUGUUCAGCCAGGAUUUUGGGCCAGCUACAUGAUUGCAAAUCCCUGUCCCUGACCCGGGCCAUUUGCAUCCCUACUUCGAGGGCCUUUGGUUUUUACGAGUGUCUAUGGUCUUUAAGAUGAUCCCUCUACGAGUGGUAAUGGCCUUAAAAAUUAACUAUCUAUUUAAAUCAUUGUAUCAAAGAUAAUCCUUUGAAUAGGCAGGUAAGAGAUGUAUUGAACCCCUAAACCCCUACUGCAUUUCAUAUAUAUACUUGGCUUCUGCAACCCUUACAUUUUCCAUUCUCUCUAAGUUCCUAAACUUCCUAAGCCAUUCGACAAUAAAAUUCAUUCAUAUGUUUCAUAUGUUUAACUCAUAAGGCCCCUCUAAAAUAUAUUUAUUAACUUCUAACUAUUUCACAACAUUUUAUUUGAAUAACCUACAACUCAAUUUCCUCCUCACCACUGCCUCCUAGAGGAAGCCCAUUGACAAGAUCUAGUGUUUCUCAUAUUGGGGCAAAGAAUAUAGAUAAAUUGCAAUUGGAGCAAAUAUAAAGACUAAAGUGCACUGAUCCAAAAAGGAGUCUUAGACUAAAAUUCAUGGUAAGUUUUCCUUAUUCAAUCUUUCAAAAAUGGAAUGUUCAACUUUCCUAUGCAACUGAGGCAGGAGAGGAACCUAGUCAGUCAAAUAAUGCACUAAUCUAUAUCCCAAUAAUCAAGCAUAUUUAUUUGAUGAUUAUCAUCGAACAUUUAUUUGUUAGAAACAUGAUCCAUCAUGUUUAAGGAUGUUAAAGCUCAUCAGGCAGAUAUUUGUUAAAACAUAUGUAACCAGGCCAUAACAAAAAAAAAGGUUUUCCAACCAAUUUUAGGAGGAUUAUAAUGUUAUUAGACUAGCUAUCGGGGAAUGAGAAUUCAUAAAGCUGUGACCCCAAAUAGAUGGGACAGGGAUUGAUGAUUACAUUAUAAUUUUAGUGAUGUUACCAUCCUGCCACAUCAACAAAGGCAUUUUGAUCAUUACGCUCUUAGAGUGUGAGUACCUCAAUGUGUCAUUUAUAACAUAGACUGAUAGACAUAUAGCUAGAUAAGGAAGACCAUAUCUCAUUCUUCUCUUCUUUCCUCUUUUUCUUCUUGUCUACCACAUAGAUUUGCUGAUUUUAUUCAUAUCUCAUAAUAUUGUUUCAAUAAGUUAUGGGAGGAAACACCACUUGCUGAUUUUAGAAAGCUACGGAUGCUCUCCUAAUUGAUUUCAGCCUUCAAAGCUUCUUAUGAUUCUCACUAUAUCUUGUCCAGUGCUCUGGGAAUGAAUCAAACUUGUUAAGGUGGAUUGACAUUUUAAAUGACACAAAUGCACAACAUCUUUAUUUCAUUCUAAUAAUCAAGUGGCCUUUUUUUCUGAGGGCCUGGGACACAGUUGAAGGGGAGUAUCAGAGAACAUAAAAACACCGAUCCAAUGGAUCCUUUGAGUUAUCUUCCUACCGACUUUUCCUACCUCUAUCUGUUUCUACUCCAUGACUCAGCCUAUUUAUUCCCCCCACUUCUCCCUAAGCCCUUUCCCCUUUAUUGUCCUUUUGAGGCAUCUACACUCUGAACUGCAAUAGUUGUCCCCUUAACAGAUUAUUAUACUUCUUCCUAAAUCUAUACAAAGGAUUUCCAAUGAUAUAUGCCCCUUAGCUUUGAGCUUGCUGCUAGCCAUAUGCGUAAACAUAUAGUUGAUACCAUGAGAAGGGCAUGGUACCAGAAAACCAUCACGUAAGUUGAAAAAGAACAAUAAAAUACAGAUUUCAAGCUAAAUUAAUAACUUAUCAUGCUAUGUAAUAUAAAAACAUCAGGAAGAAAUCCACUGGAUGAAAAGAAUAAGCACAUAUGAGCAAACAAACGAGCAUGAGAAGCCAACAAGACAUAAUCCAUUUGAAAGCACCCUGAGAUUACUUGAGCUUCAACAUAAGUAAAGAUAGAGCAAGAAUUGCACCAAUUCUUUUCACAAAUUAUAGAGGGAAUGCCACAUUUUGGAUUUGAAACAAGAACCUCUCUCCCUAUAACUCAGAGGAGUGUCAACCAACAGACCCAUGUCAUGUUGGCAAACUGAGAAUUACAUUAACCAAACAUCAAAUAACUAAAUAGCUCGAUAAAUGUGAGGAUUACAGUAACAGAAUUGGAUAUUUAAGGCUCCCAAGUAAAAACUGAUUCAUAUCUCACCAGAAAUUAUCUUUCAAAGAUUAAAUAUUUAUGACGCAAAAACUUUGAAGGGGAACAAAAAGAUAAACUAAGAAAAGAGGAGGAAAAAGAAGGGGGCAAAGGUGACACUGCAUGAACAAAUUUGGGGAAACCUUCUCAUCUAAUAUACAAGUAAAGCAUUGUGAUGAGAGCACAAAAGUGCGAUCUACACAUCAAUUAAAUUAAUAUUAUUGCUAACAAAUAAUGAUAAAAGUGCUGCAUUAAUAUUAUAUUGUUGUGGGGUGCAGGUGAUCGUAAAUUAACGUUAAAAUGCGCAUCGGAUCCAAAAAGAUGCAUCACCGCAGGUGACCAGCCAACCGCAUGGGUCAACCCAGUUGCACACUAGAAGGAGGCUAAGUUCAGCCGUCCAGUUCACUGCAACCAAAUCCCAGCAGCCAGCAGCCCGUGCAUCUCAUCCCGAUGGAGCCCUCGUGCAGCCCAUUCUCUUCUCCCGCGUGUGGAUUUUCCAAGUCUCACUCAUCCCGAAUCUCAGCUUCCUUCCGCGUCAUCCUCGCAUUCCACACGUCCGUCUGAGUCCGAGAUCCCGCAUCCCAGCUCCAUUUUCCUCCUUCCAUUCGCGUCUGGCUUCUGAGCCCGUGUGCGAUCCCAGCAUCCCGUGAAGCAUCGCAGCCGUCCGCUAGUCUUCCGCACCCGUGAUCAACUCCUUCCCGCGAUGCAUGCCAAGUAAUCCGCGGCCAACACCCUCUCCGCGUCUGUGAGCCAGCGUUGGAUCCUCCCCACGUCCGAUUUUCAGUCUUCCGCGUCCGUUCUCAGCGUUGGAUCCGCCCGCAUGCAUAUCCAGCAUCCUCCCAACGUCCGUGUCCAACUCUUCAUCUUCCACGUUUGCUUCUCCCAAGCGUCCAAGCCUCACCCGUCCGAGCUUCAUUUCCAGCUCAUCCACGCCUAGCAUUCCCAGCUUUCCGUGGCCAAAGAAAGAAACCAGAAGCAGCGUUUCAAUCAUCAGAAUCCCAGAAAUUCCGGCUCAACAUUCCGGAUUGAUCCCAAGCGCCCUCGUCCGUGAUUCACUUCCCGAAUUUCACCCGUUCGCGUGCAAUCCUCCGCUAUCAGCUUCUUCCCGUGACACAUGCCAAAGAUCCUGCUGCAGCUCUCAUCCAUUACCAUCUCCCAGCUGUCCGCCUCCUCCUUCUCGCGUCCAUCCAUCCCUUCCACGUUCCCAGCCGAAUCACAGCAAACGAGAUUUAGGGAGAUUCAUUUGAUUCGUUAAGGAGGAGAGUGGGAUAUAUAGGAUAUCUCUCGGCUCAAGGGGAGUGGGCUCUCAUUUGAAAGAGGAGUCGGGAGCCAUUGAAAAAAAAAGAAGAGAGAAACAGGGGAUGCCCUGUUUCUGAAAAGAAGAAAAGAAAAAAAAGGGGGGGAGAGAUGCUGACGCUUGUAAUGGGAGGCUAACUCCUUUGGUCAAGGAUGAUGGAAGAUCCCUGGCUUAUUGCUUUCAUGAAGUAAACUCUGAACUUUGAUUUUAAUUGAUUUACAUCUUUUCAUAUGUUCUGAUUCUCUCAUAUUUAUUUAUUAGAUAGUUUAGUCAUGUUUUAUAUUUAUUGAUGCACGGAUAACUCUGAUAUUUGAUUUGUCGUAGACAUAACUAGCACGAUGAAUGCUUAGACAUUGAGUUCUUGUAUUCAAUCGAUAUAUUUCAUGAUUAAAACUAUUUUAUUUAUUCAAUCCUUAAUCGAGAAUCGUCGAGUUUAUUUGUUGAAAGUAAUAUUGUCAAGGAGGAUUCCGGAUCCCUAGCCAUCUCCAUAUUAUCGAACUUACUCUAUUAAUUAGUUUCUCUAGACUUCUAUAAACCAUCUGAAAUCACAUCUGAAAUUAAACUGAUAAUUCAUAGACCGCUCCAUGAGGAAUCGACCUCGGACUCCCGAGUUUUACUGCUUGUGCGAUUCUCCUGCACUUGGGAGAUUAGUUUCGCGAAAGCAUUUUUGCGAACACAUCACAUUGAUUAGAAGAGAGAGACUGAUACCCUCAACUAGUCCCCAAUUACAUAAUGUCAGUACUAAUUAAGAACCUUAUUAGUGCACCAAUGAAAUUUUCCACAUUUAUCACAGGCACGAAAAAACAAAAAGGGAAUAGGAAAUGCAAUUUGCAACAUCUGGUUCUCAUUGGCUUGGAGACACAAACUCCUAGGCCCAGUAUCCAAAUACCAUCAGCAGAUUUGUACCAUAAGUGUUCUUGACAUGCUUUAUUCAGAAAAUAAAGUCAAAAUUCAACAUACCUACAUUAGAUUUUUUAAAAAGAAAGGAGUUCUGAAUUUGUAAAUCAUUGUCAUUUGAUUCCAUCAGAUUUUUUAACAAAAAUACCCUCAAUCCCCUUAAGACAACCUGUUUUAUGAUGGCAUAUGAUGUAACUACCUGGAUUUUCGGGUUCCUCUCAAAUCCAUUUUCUGCUUUGUGAAAAGGUAAAGAGAGCAAACAAGAGCAUGUGUUACAUCUCUUCCCCCUAAAUGACUCAAAUCAUCACAAAAAAGAAAGAAAUUCCAAAUCUUGUAAUUCCAUGACAUAAUGCAGUUAUGGUGAUCUCCCUCAGAUUCUAAUUGUGAUGAUGGUUUGUCUUCUAACCCAAUUCAUAUCGUCUUGUACAUAAGCCCUCAAUUCUCUCUAUAACCUAAAUUUUGUGCAAUAUGUUAUCAUUUUAACAAUCUCUCUCAAUCCCAUUAGUCUUAGAACCUUUCUCGAUUACCAGAACUUGACUUAUAAUCAUACUUUUUUAUAAACUGCCAUGGAACAUAUCUUUUCAUGAGACAUGAGUUCAUUUGAGUGAUUGUAGGGGCAGGUGGUUCAUGAACAUGAAAAGUUCCUCUUGUCACGUGGAAUGAGAACAUUGGCGGGAUUUGUGGGUGCAACACACAUGGGUGUUAACUACUGAGUUGUCAAGCCAGCAUUAAGUGGGCCCCAGGAACUUUUCGUGUGCACUAAUGGAUGCUCCAAAGCAUUUUCUGGUUAGUUUUGUCCUCGCACCCUUACACCUAGAUCUCUUUACUAUUAAAAACUUACAUUUCCUUAAAUCUUUCCACUUACCAAAUAUAAUGUUGAAAGGGUAUUCAUACUGAUAGCCAAUAACAUUUGAGUUUACAUUUCCUAAAAUUUAUCCACUUACCAAAUCAAGAUAUUGUUACACAUUGUACUGGUAGAUGAUCUUCAGAUGAUUGCUACAGAAUGUUAAUACAAUAGACAAGUAAAAGGCCAUGAGU